rnacentral:rRNA from 1 species
AUGUACAUGAGCGCGGCGACGUCGCUCGGCCGGAGGUUCUCCUACUGCCUCGCGCCCUACUUAAGCGACGCGUCCUCCGCGCUCAAUUUCGGGUCCCGCGCCACCGUGACGGGGCCGGGCGCGGUGACCACGCCGAUGGUCCACUCCCCCGUGCACGUGGAGGCUUCCUACACCGUCGAAAUCGUGGCCGUCAGGGUUGAGAACUCGAUCAUCAAGCUGCCGAAUUCGAAGCGGCCCCCCGUCAUCGUCGACUCCGGGUCGAUGCUGACGUCCCUCGACGGGGAGCUGCUGGACCCCAUCGUGGAGGCGCUCGCCCGGAGCAUCAAGCUCCCGCGCAAGCAGUCGCCCAACCCGGAGCUGUUUUCGGUGUGCUACGAGGCGGACGGCAUGAAGGCGCUGGAGAAGGUUUUCCCGGACGUCACCCUGGAGCUGGGCGGGGGCGCCUUGGUCACGCUAAGGCAGAGAACGUGUUCAUGGACCUUCUGCUACAGACCGUGUGCUUGGCCAUCGUGCCGGUGA